GUAUAUGUGGAUUAAUAAGUGCUCUGAUAUUCAAUUAUAAUGGUUGAUUGUCUCACACUUUUCAAAACGUUGUUAUACAGACACUUGUUUGCAGAGACGUGACAUCGUGAAAACAUGAAGACUCUGAUUCUUGCUCUUUUUGUAUUGUUGGCUAUCAGCCAGAGUGAAGCCUUGAGGUGUCACUGUGGAGGCAAGAAGAUAUGUCUAGGUGGCCAAGAGACCUGCCGCAAUACACACACCCGCUGUGGCAGUGCCAAAAUCGAAGGUGCAACCAUGUACACACCUACCACAUACUUCCAACGCUGCAUGACGAGAAUAGAAUGCACGGGGUUUAAUAAUAUGGCUGGAUCAUCUGCCAGAUGCUGCGACACGGAUCUGUGCAACAAAGCUGUUUUAUUAUGACUGUCAACACAGCUGAGAAAUUAAUACUAAGAUGUCA